rnacentral:rRNA from 1 species
UACGUAGGGUGCAAGCGUUGUCCGGAAUUAUUGGGCGUAAAGAGCUCGUAGGCGGUUUGUCGCGUCUGCUGUGAAAACUCAGGGCUUAACCCUGAGCCUGCAGUGGGUACGGGCAGACUAGAGUGUGGUAGGGGAGAUCGGAAUUCCUGGUGUAGUGGUGAAAUGCGUAGAUAUCGGGAGGAACACCAGUGGCGAAGGCGGCUAUCUGGGCUUUAACUGACGCUGAGGCGCGAAGGCUAGGGGAGCAAACAGG